AUCUAUGGCCAUACCACCCUGAAGACACACAAUCUCAUCUGAUCUGGGAAGCUAAGCAGGGUCGACCCUGGUUAGUACUUGGAUGGGAGACUGCCUGGGAAUACUGGGUGCUGUAGGCU
ensembl:rRNA 5S_rRNA 5S ribosomal RNA